CCCAUUGUGACGUGGCUUUGCUGGAUAGCUGUACUUUGUGGAAACCUCACACUGGCCCUGGUCCCCUUCCCCCAGUGGCUGAUGGCCCUGGAGGGUCUUCUCCAUCCCUUGAGAGCUGGCUCCACAUCCCAAGGUCCUGGACCCUGCCUCCUUCCUGCCUGGCCGCCUCGCACACGGCCCUAAAUCCCGUCGUCCUGGUCGCCGGCCGGCGCUGACUGUCCCCUUUUGCGGGCUCAGCUGGGGCAUCUCGUUCUCUGAUGGCACCUGGCUUCAGACCAGGGCCCUCCCGGAUGCCGGUGCGCGCACACAAGUCCCUGACUUCCCAGCAAGCUCAGGCCUUCGCAAGGCCGCCCUCUGCUUGAAAGGCUGCCGUCCGUUCGGAAGCAUCACAUCCCCCAAAGUGCAUCUCCCGGAAUCCCGCUCGCAGGGGAGCGGCUGCCUGUCACCCGGACCUCGCGUGGCCGGGGCCGGGGCUGGGGCUGAAUAAGGGCUUCUCAAUGCCUGUGUCAUAUCCCGGCUCCCUUGGCACUGGAGACAAAGCUGCCCGCUGGGUGGGGAGUGGGGACUGGAGGGAACAGCCGGCCCCAGGGACACCCGGCUCCUCCCUCCCUCUCUGACCCAAAAAAGGAAGGUGACACAAAGGACCUCCAAGGACAAAGGAGCCAGAGACCCAAGAAAAAGGCCAACCACCGAGUCCAGGUCACUUGGAUUGCAAAGGGAGGGUAGACGAGAAACGUCCGGAAGCCGGAGAGCCGUCGGGAAGCCGUUGGGGAACGUGGUUACGGCCCCGGGACGGAUGGACUGCAGGGCCUUAGUGUAACUACAGGGCCCCGUUCGGAGCCUCAGGAGACCCAAAGUGGGAGGCCGGACGUGGGCAGAGGAGCCAGCCAAGGAGGCGGAGAGCGGAAGGUCAGACAACAGGUAGAGACUCCGAGAGACGGAGGCAUCAGUGAAACCCGCGGGUCUGAAGGAGGAAUGGGUAGCGACCACAAACCCAGGAGGUCAGCUGAAAGGCUGCGGUUCCCGCUGGAUCUGUGGGUCGGUCCGGGGCAGUGAUGCCGCGAAGGCAAAGGCUUGAUGACAUGGCUGGGAGACGAGACACCAACAUGUGUCUUCCCGAGUCCGCUAGAAAGGCAGGUACGCUGGGAGGGGCGGCUUCUGGCAUUUGGUACUGAGAAAACCUGGCUCUUGCCUCGCAGCUGGACCUGGCUUCCCAGCCACGGAAUGGGGAUAAGGGGGUGUGCUGGCCCAGAUGAAUCCCAGGGGACCCCAGAACUCCUGGCCCUGGGAAACACUCCCAGUCACCCUUGCCUUCUGCCUUCUUUUAAGUACAAAGCCCCUUUUCUGCUUUCCCACCAUUCGGUCCUACACAGAAACCCACGUCCCGGAGGUGCAACGGCGCUAAGAGAAAAUCCCCAGGUGCCAGGUUCUUGCUCUGCAACUCAGAGUUCUCUCAAAAUCAGUGAAACAGGCGGCAACGAAGCUGUUAUGCCGGAACGUGUUAGCUUUUAUCAAGCGAAGGCGAGAUGGUCUGUUGCACGCGCUCCCCAAACGUGUCAUCAAUGAUUUCAGCCAGGGUCAAAUGCGUGACCUCGUUCAGGGAAUCAGACUGGGGGUGCCUGGCGGGCGGAGUACAGCCCGGGGCUCUCGACCCCGGGGUUGGGGGUUCCAGCGUUACUACUUAAAAAUAAAGUCUUAAAAA